rnacentral:tRNA from 1 species
GGGUCCAUAGCUCAGUGGUAGAGCAUUUGACUGCAGAUUAAGAGGCCAUCGGUUCGAACCCGGUUGGGCCCU